CUAAAGAAUUUGAAGACCGCAACUUGUAGACUUGAAGAAUUUGAAGACUUCAACUUGCAAACAUGAUUGAUUUGAAGACCUCAACU
rnacentral:pre_miRNA from 1 species